GACACAAUAUGAUUGGUCAGAUUUUAAAACUCUUCCGUACUGUUCUCUGAUUGGUCAACAAUAUUUCACCCACGCCAUUUUGAAAAUUCUUCCCGGGACGUGUUGAGAAAGCUGGAGGUGAUUUUGAAUAAACUCUCAUUUGCUCGCGAGUAAAAUGGAUCGAAAAACAGAAGUUCAGCAUAAUCAUGGUACACAGGAUCAUAUAUAUGAACCAAGGAAAGCAAAUACAUAAGGAGACUGACGUUUUUUAGGCAUCAUAUCCGGACUUUUAUGGUGUAAACAACGACAGUUGCGUCAGCAGAACAUUGAAGAAAAGCUGAUUAGUCAUGGAGGAAGAAGAUCCCUCUCAAGAAAGUAUUGCAGUGAUGAAGUCAGAUGAGAUGACAGGUUGUGUGAUUUGAAGAUGGACUUCUGCAACAAAGUAAACACUCCUCUACCUUUUCCAUACAAAAGAAACAGCAAAGCAGAGAGAUCGAAACAUUUGGUAAAAGUACAAAGAAAACAGGAUUAGUUAAACUUGUGAAAAAUAUCAAGACUAUUGAAGAGCAGAUUAUAUGUAAAAAGAAAGAUCAAGACUACAAUUGGUAGCUGAAUCAGUAGCCUGGCCACAUUAAUUACUUUUUAAUUAGCUAUUUGUACAUUUGAGGUAAUCUGACUGAGUUACUAAAAUUGUUUUUUAACAAAUAUUUCAAAUAAAUAAAAGAUUUUUGAAUAACAAUCAAUAGAUGCUAUUAAGAACCUCAAUCUCCAACCCCUUUUCUUCAAAUAACAAUUUUUGCCCAUGAUCAUUUUUGUAGUUUUUAAAACUCUGUUUUGUAUUAUUUUAAGCAU